rnacentral:miRNA from 1 species
GUAAAGCUGUUUGGAUCUUCAG